rnacentral:lncRNA from 1 species
AAAACCCUAGUUUCGUCCUCUCUCAAUUCCGGCAGAAUUGCCGCCGAAAUGCCGCUGCUUCCUGGAGCUCGUCCGUCGUGCCGUCGACCACCGCCGACGUCUUCUCCGCUUCGACGGAACAAGGCAGCAGCAGAAGAAAUCGAGCCUUCUCUUCUGAAGAAUCGCUGCGACUUGUGUCGUCGUCGGUGUCUUCUCUCUCUCUACCUCGACGACAACGUAGGCGGACACGUAGACUGCCACGCCUCUCUCACCCUGCUCACCGCUUACUCUACUCCGUCGAGUUUUAAUCGACUCGGUCUCAAGCGGGGAUACGCCACUUAAAGG